GGGAGCCGAUUCAAAUUUUCUUGAAGAACUUCGGCUAAAAACCCACAAGCCUCUCUUCUAGCAAAAUCAAGUCCACUUAGCUAUGCACAAGCUAAUGGAUCUAGGAAUGAUGCUAGAAACUUAAUUUGAGAAUAGUGGAAGCAAGAAAGAAUCUAAACAAGCUCCGGAAGAUAAACUUUGAAAACCAACAUCUUUGUGUGGAAAAAUCCGAAGGAACCUUCGGAAAAUUCUGAACAUGCGGAAAUUUCCGAAAAAACCUUCGGAAAUUUCUGGAGGUUCGGAGAUUUCC
rnacentral:lncRNA from 1 species